rnacentral:rRNA from 1 species
CCUACGGGGGGCAGCAGUGGGGGAUAUUGGACAAUGCGGGGAACCCUGAUCCAGCGACGCCGCGUGAGUGAAGAAGUAUUUCGGUAUGUAAAGCUCUGUCAGCAGGGAAGAAAGAAAUGACGGUACCUGACCAAGAAGCCCCGGCUAACUACGUGCCAGCAGCCGCGGUAAUACGGAGGAUGCGAGCGUUAUCCGGAUUUAUUGGGUUUAAAGGGUGCGCAGGCGGAAGAUCAAGUCAGCGGUAAAAUUGAGAGGCUCAACCUCUUCGAGCCGUUGAAACUGGUUUUCUUGAGUGAGCGAGAAGUAUGCGGAAUGCGUGGUGUAGCGGUGAAAUGCAUAGAUAUCACGCAGAACUCCGAUUGCGAAGGCAGCAUACCGGCGCUCAACUGACGCUCAUGCACGAAAGUGUGGGUAUCGAACAGGAUUAGAUACCCCUGGUAGUC